rnacentral:rRNA from 1 species
GACGAACGCUGGCGGCGUGCCUAAUACAUGCAAGUCGAACGCAGUGGGGACGGGGGAGUAACACGUGGGUAACCUCGCAUCAGAGGGGAAAACACUUGGAAAAAGGUGCUAAAGCGAUACCGACGGAUGGACCGGCGGUGGAUUAGGUAGUUGGUGAGGUAACGGCCCACCAAGGCCACGAUCCAUAGCCGCCCUGAGAGGGUGAUCGGCCCCACUGGGACUGGGACACGGCCCAGACUCCUACGGAAGGCAGCAGUAGGGAAUCUUCGGCAAUGGACGAAAGCCUAACCGAGCAACGCCGCGUGAGUGAAGAAGGUUUUCGGAUCGUAAAACUCUUUUGUUAGAGAAGCGGUAUCUAACCAGAAAGCCACGGCUAACUACGUGCCAGCAGCCGCGGUAAUAC